GUCGAACGAGAAAGUGGAGCAAUCCAUGAGUAAAGUGGCGCACGGGUGAGUAACACGUGACUAACCUACCCUUGAGUGGGGGAUAACCUAGGGAAACCUGGGCUAAUACCGCAUAAUACCGAGAGGUCAAAGGAGCAAUUCGCUUAAGGAGGGGGUCGCGGCCGAUUAGUUAGUUGGCGGGGUAAUGGCCCACCAAGACGAUGAUCGGUAUCCGGCCUGAGAGGGCGCACGGACACACUGGAACUGAAACACGGUCCAGACUCCUACGGGAGGCAGCAGUGGGGAAUUUUGCGCAAUGGGGGAAACCCUGACGCAGCAACGCCGCGUGGAGGAUGAAGUCCCUUGGGACGUAAACUCCUUUCGAUCGGGACGAUUAUGACGGUACCGGAAGAAGAAGCCCCGGCUAACUUCGUGCCAGCAGCCGCGGUAAUACGAGGGGGGCGAGCGUUGUUCGGAAUUAUUGGGCGUAAAGGGUGCGUAGGCGGUUUGGUAAGUCUUGUGUGAAAUCUUCGGGCUCAACUCG
rnacentral:rRNA from 1 species